rnacentral:rRNA from 1 species
UACGUAGGGUGCAAGCGUUGUCCGGAAUUAUUGGGCGUAAAGAGCUCGUAGGCGGUCUGUCGCGUCUGCUGUGAAAACUCGGGGCUUAACCCCGGGCCUGCAGUGGGUACGGGCAGACUAGAGUGCGGUAGGGGAGACUGGAAUUCCUGGUGUAGCGGUGAAAUGCGCAGAUAUCAGGAGGAACACCGGUGGCGAAGGCGGUUCUCUGGGCCUGUACUGACGCUGAGGAGCGAAAGCGUGGGGAGCAAACAGG